UUGAAGGUCAAAGAUUCAGAAGCUUGCCCAAUUUGUUCAUGUUGGUGGAAGAAGGAUUCAUGUGAUUCAAGGCCUGAGUGUUCCAAUAUCAUAGGCUGGAUCCAGUUAUGUUUGUCUGCCCCUGGACAAGGAGUGCCAUCGUGCAGGGAAGUCAGUGACCAGGAACAGCUGCAGUUUCCCAACUGGAUCCGAUGGAAAGUGCUGCUUUCAGUGUGUGGUUGGGUGCAACUGAAGAUGGAAGGCGGACUGCAGAGAGUUGAAAGGCGGAUUUUUGACAGAGGUGGGCGCCCCUUGGGCAAGCACAGGUAGCUCUUUUCCCUGAAAAAUCAGAAGAGAAGUGUACCAUUUCUCCCCUCGUGUGAGCUGCUAGCUGUCAGAAACAGAACAAAUUUGAAAGAACAGCUGAGAAAAUAUGAAGAAACCUGUUUGCUGAUCACUGUUCCAACAUGCUCAGCACACAUGAGAACACUUAAUGAGUAUAUACCACGUGCCAGCCUUGGAGUGUGGGAGAGCUGGUGGAACUCAAAGUGAAUAAACUAUAUGUUCUGAAUCUGCCCACUCCUCAUUGGAUCAAGUCAAAUGAACUAUUUCCCUGGCUAGGCAUGGGGAAUGCUAAGAUCAUCGGAGAUGUGACACGGGUAUACACGAUCAAAGAAUAAGGGGCAUCACUUUAUUGUUCCUGCUGGAUGGGAAAUAGAAAGCACCGAUGCUUCCUUUUAUGGACCUGGAACUCUGCUUAGCCACAGAAUGCCAGCUGUCCCCAAGGUCCAAUUGCUUACUGCUCAAGAACAGUCAAUGUACAAAAUAGAGCACACACUGGCAGAGAAGCCCUUGGCCACCAUGCAGGUUCAAGAACAGUCGGGACUAAUGCCUCUCAGAUGAUAAUGCUUCCCUUUGUUAGAAUUUCUAAGCAUUUUCUCAUAGAAUCAAAAUUUUGUUUUGCUUUAAGAAGAUUCUUUUUUUUUUAAAUCCCACCCAAGGAUAUGGUUUUUAAUUGAUGAGA